AAAAUUGGGAUAGCGCCAGGCCUUUGAUAAUAAAAAGGUGACGAGGAUUGAGCUUAUCGAAAGAUUCGGCGGAUGGCUCAGGGUUGUGCGAUCCUUAGGAUGAGUGAAAAAAGUAAGUGUGAGCUUAUAACAGAGACUCGUUUAAGCACCUAG
rnacentral:ncRNA from 2 species